rnacentral:lncRNA from 1 species
CUUGUUGAGGGCAGAAGCUGUGUGAUUGGCUUCUUUAUGCAGUGGGAACCUGGCCCAGUGCCUUGUGUAUGGGAACCACUUGCCAUAUUUUAGCUGAGUGAACAAAUCUAUAAAUGACAAGUACUGAGAUUCUUUAUGGAGUGCACAUUGACUAGUCAUGGUCAAGAUCUCCUUUUGGAUUCAGGUGACAGCAGGAAGAGCAUGGUCUAAUAAACAGAGAAGGCUCAGGAGGGUCAGAAACACGGUGCCUCAUUUCUCAGCCUACUUGCCAAGAAUUCCCAAAAAGGAAGCACUGGAGGAUCAUUCCAAGGCUUGAGGUCCAGGACUACCCACUUCCCUUGGAAUGGUGUUGCCAUCACUGUUCUGGCACCGGAGGUAAGGAUUCUACAUCGUUAGGAGAAAAGAAAAAGGAGAAUUUGGGCUUGCACUGAGAGGAUUACCUUUGGUGGUCUGGAAGUGGUGGCUGCACAGGGAGCAUGGCUGGGAGGCCUCAGGAAACUGACAAUCAUCAGUAGAAGAUGAAGAGGAAGGAGGCGCAUCUUACAUGGCCAGAGAAGGAGGAAGAAUAAGAAGGGGUUCCUUGACUUUGGCCUUCAGUCCUGACUUAAUUUCUUUGCUUAUGGGUAAAACAAGGAAUUCCUGUCACACUGCCAACAUCACCCCCUUUCUUCUCACCCCAAGGAGAGUGCAGAGAGGAGGCGAGACCAAGCCUGCCCAGAGUUGGAGUCUUGAGACGUGAGAUUCUCCAGCUGGAGCCCUAUAAAUUGGACUGACAAAAGACAGAUUAGCAAGAGAAAUGCAAGCAGCAGUUUAUUAACAUGUGCAUCAUGAUUACACAUGGAAGUACCCAGAGCAGGUCAUAAGACCUCAUGUGACAAGUGCCCUCCUUACUCCCAGAGAAAAGGAAGGAAGACACAGAAACACCACGAAGAAUAUGGACAAACAGACCUUGCUAAGUUCCCCCCCAUUUAUUACCAUGACAUCAUACUCCCUUUGUCCAAUCACACUUUCAUCAAACCUGAGCAUGAAAAUACACAGGUUUCUCUGUUUGGGGGGUGGGUCUUCAUUUUUGAAGUUUCCAUGUCAUGUAAAACUUAUAUUAAAGAAAUGUGUAUGUUUUACCCUUGUUAAUUU